rnacentral:rRNA from 1 species
GGUUAACGCUGGCGGCGUGCCUAACACAUGCAAGUCGAACGGUUCUAAGCGCGAGCUUAGGAUAGUGGCGAACGGGUGAGUAAAAGGUAGGAAUCUACCCCUUGGACGGAGAUAGCUACUGGAAACGGUAGGUAAACUUCGAUAAGCCCGAGAGGGGAAAGUGGUGAGACAGCCGAGGGAUGAGCCUACUCUCCAUCAGGUAGUUGGUGAGAUAAAGCUUACCAAGCCGAUGACGGAUAACCGGUGUGAGAGCAUGAACGGUCACAAGGGCACUGAGAGACGGGCCCUACUCCUACGGGAGGCAGCAGUGGGGAAUCUUGGACAAUGGGCGAAAGCCUGAUCCAGCGACGCCGCGUGGAGGAAGAAGUCCUUCGGGAUGUAAACUUCUGAACUAGCCGAAUAAAAGGCCUGUGGACACACAGGAGAAGAAAGUAGGCUAGGAAAAGUCCCGGCUAACUACGUG